rnacentral:rRNA from 1 species
UACGAAGGGGGCUAGCGUUGCUCGGAAUGACUGGGCGUAAAGGGCGCGUAGGCGGAUGGUACAGUCAGAUGUGAAAUUCCUGGGCUUAACCUGGGGGGCUGCAUUUGAUACGUGUUGUCUAGAGUGAGGAAGAGGGUCGUGGAAUUCCCAGUGUAGAGGUGAAAUUCGUAGAUAUUGGGAAGAACACCGGUGGGCGAAGGCGGCGACCUGGUCCAUUACUGACGCGAGGCGCGACAGCGUGGGGAGCAAACGAGGA